UUUAUCUCAGGAAUGUGAAGGAGAGUAUUUUAAAAUCUAGACAUAGUUUGUAAGAUAUAACUUACUAUAAAUAACCGAUAAUUAGAGUAAAAUACACAACCUUAAUAAUUAUGUGCCAGCCUUAGCGGUAAUACAUAAAGGUUAUCUUCAUCAACAAAUGGAUACCUCAAGACAAAAUCUUUUAUUUCUUGGUUAAAUAUCAUGAAAUAAAUAAUCCUUUACCCUCAUCUUAAAAGUGGUUUCUAAACCAGGAUUAGAUACCCUGUUAUUCCACUUAAUAUAUUUAUCUUAUCAUUAUAAAAAUUAUUUUCUUAAGAAAUUCAUAUUAUAUGACAGUCGGGGACGAUUUCAGAUGAAUAUGUCUCAUAAAUGAUACCCCACAAAUAAUCUAGCUUAAACUAGCUCUCACCAUUCCCACCGCCGUCUAUGUAUUGGAUAAAACAUGUACAUAAAUUAGUUAUACACUAAGAUAAUCAGGUAAAGGUGAAGGUAAUGUUUAAGGAAAGAUGUAUUACAUUUAAUAUAAUAGUGAAUUCAACUUUAAAACACUGAAGAAAAUGAAUUUGAAAGUAAUAAAUUUUUAUAAUAAAUUUAUGAAUUAUCCUCUCCCCCUUGUACAACUCGCCCGUCACCCUCCAUGAAUUUAUAUAGAGGUAAGUCGAAACAUAGUAGGUAUACCGGAAGGUGUAUCUAUACCCCCCCCCUAAAAAAUACUAAAAAAAAAAUUUUUUUUGGGUGACACUUAGACUGUAUGUGUCUUCCAUUCCUGGAAAAAUUUAAGUUCAGUAGCUUGUAUACUUUAAAUACGAAUUUUUACAACAAAUAUAGUAGCUCAGACAGUACUAGAUAUAAAGGUAUGGUAAUAGAACAAAGACAUAAAGGUAUAAAUUUUCCGCUUC
rnacentral:rRNA from 1 species